UACAGAGGUCCCGAGCGUUGUUCGGAUUCACUGGGCGUAAAGGGUGCGUAGGUGGUGAGGUAAGUCGGAUGUGAAAUCUCCAGGCUCAACCUGGAAACUGCAUUGGAAACUACCUUGCUGGAGGAUUUGAGGGGGGAUUGGAAUACUUGGUGUAGCAGUGAAAUGCGUAGAUAUCAAGUGGAACACCAGUGGCGAAGGCGAAUCCCUGGAAAAUACCUGACACUGAGGCACGAAAGCGUGGGGAGCAAACAGG
rnacentral:rRNA from 1 species